rnacentral:rRNA from 1 species
UUCUGGUUGAUCCUGCCGGACCCUACUGCUAUCGGGAUGGGACUAAGACAUGCUAGUCGUGCGCUUCUAAGCCAUGGUGGAGGCGCGGCGCACAGCUCAGUAACACGUGGUUAACCUGCCCUUGGGACGGAAACACCCCCGGGAAACUGGGGCUAAUUUCCGAUAGGUGAAGACUCCUGGAAUGGAUCUUCGCCUAAAGGGCGCUUAGGCCAUGCUUCUAGGCGCUGCCCCAAGGAUGGGACCGCGGCCGAUCAGGUUGUUGGUGAGGUAAUGGCUCACCAAGCCUUUAACCGGUUCGGGCCGUGGGAGCGGGAGCCCGGAGAUGGGCACUGAGACAAGGGCCCAGGUCCUACGGGGCGCAGCAGUCGCGAAAACUCCGCAAUACGCGAAGGCGUGACGGGGCUAUCCCGAGUGCCGUCCGCUGAGGAUGGCUUUUCCCCAGUGUAGAUAGCUGGGGGAAUAAGGAGAGGGCAAGUCUGGUGUCAGCCGCCGCGGUAAUACCAGCUCUCCGAGUGGUGGGGACGUUUAUUGGGCCUGAAGCAUCCGUAGCCAGCUGAGCAAGUCCCCAGUUAAAUCCAGCGAUUUAAUCGUUGGACUGCUGGGGAUACUGUCCGGCUUGGGGGUGGGAGAGGCCGACGGUAUUCCCGGGGUAGGGGUGAAAUCCUAUAAUCCCGGGAGGACCACCAGUGGCGAAGGCUGUUGGCUAAAACAUGCCCGACGGUGAGGGAUGAAAGCUGGGGGAGCGAACCGGAUUAGAUACCCGGGUAGUCCCAGCUGUAAACGAUGCAGGCUAGGUGUUAGGGCGGCCACGUGCCGCUCUAGUGCCGCAGGGAAGCUGUUAAGCCUGCCGCCUGGGGAGUACGGCCGCAAGGCUGAAACUUAAAGGAAUUGGCGGGGGAGCAC